GCCCGGGGUCGCGGAAAUGUCGGACGAAAGAGCCCGUUAGAUUCGCCGUUACGUACCGAAACGAUACGUUCAACCGCGAUUAAUAUCAAUAACGGCGGUUCCGAAUAGUACGGGCGCCGUUUCGGACAUUUCAACGGGGUUCCGGGUGGCCCGUUUUUGGAGCGGACAACAGUAAAGUGUCCGUGCGCGAAGGAAACGCGCCGGAAAUAAGUGUCGUUUUUGCCGACGAACUAUACCGGGGCAACGGGAAACGCGCCGUUCGAACAAUAGUAUUGCAACCGUUCUCCGGACGACCGGAAUUUACACCUCGGGGGCACACGAAACCCCGGACAGUAUCGCGACAUUUUCUCG